rnacentral:ncRNA from 2 species
UAAUGAGUUAGAGGUUGCGAUGUUCAAGAGUAAUUAUUCAGAAGCGAAAUGGCGCGUAUGUUGAAAUAAUGAAAGGGUGCAUCGCCGAAACGAAUCAUAUCCAUAAUAUGAUUUGUUGGGUCAGUGUUUAAUAGAUACUGGACUGUCACACUAAGUGAUGUGCUACCAAUUUG